rnacentral:rRNA from 1 species
AUUGAACGCUGGCGGCAGGCCUAACACAUGCAAGUCGAACGAGUGGCGGACGGGUGAGUAAUGUCUGGGAAACUGCAUGAUGGAGGGGGAUAACUACUGGAAACGGUAGCUAAUACCGCAUACCAUCAGAUGUGCCCAGAUGGGAUUAGCUUGUUGGUGGGGUAACGGCUCGCCCAGGCGACGAUCCCUAGCUGGUCUGAGAGGAUUGCCAGAAGCACUGGAACUGAGACACGGUCCAUGUGGGGACGGUGGGCAGGAGGGGGGGAGGGGGGAGAAGGGGCGCAAGCCUGAGGCGACCAUGCCGCGUGUAUGAAGAAGGCCGUCGGGUGGGGGGUUACUUUCAGCGGGGAGGCGUUACCCGCAGAAGAAGCACCGGCUAACGAAGGCCCAGCCGCCGCGGUAAUUC